CCUGAGAAACCCAAAAGAUCGAAUGGGGAGAUUCAUCGUCAACGCAUUUUGUAUAUGUAUGAGUUGUGAUGCGGGUUACUCUUUUUGAGUAUUGCCUGUACAUUCUCGUAUGUUUAGUGGCAAGAUGUCGUCGGCGUGCACUUCUCCCCUUAGUAGGACGUCGUGACCCGUUGGGUGUUGGUUUACGGCUCAAGUGGUAGCCUUUAGUGUUUUAUUUAUUUAUAACAUUAAAGACCCUUGGUGUUUUCUAACCAACUACCCGGCGGUAUUCGUACGGUAUUUAGCCGCAUUUUUUAUGCGUCCAUNUCCGUCGCAAGCGCGGNUAGAUUUCGAUAGUACGGACUUUGUGCCGACGUUGUGUCUGACCANCUGUUGGUUGACGGUGUUCUAGGACUGGCUAAAAUUAUUACCGGNCGGCGAUGCUACUGCUUUGGGUACUUUCAGGACCCGUCUUGAAACACGGACCAAGGAGUCUAACAUGUACGCGAGUCAUUGGGAUUAUUCAAAAAUUAAACCUAAAGGCGUAAUGAAAGUAAAGGUCGGCCUUGUGUCGAUUGAGGGAGGAUAAGUUAUAUUUAAGGAUAUAUCUUCGCACUCCCGGGGCGUCUCAUUCUCAUUGCGAGA
rnacentral:rRNA from 1 species